rnacentral:rRNA from 1 species
UACGAAGGGGGCUAGCGUUGCUCGGAAUCACUGGGCGUAAAGGGUGCGUAGGCGGGCAGGUAAGUCCGUGGUGAAAUCUCUGAGCUUAACUCAGAAACUGCCAUGGAUACUAUUUGUCUUGAAUAUUGUGGAGGUAAGCGGAAUAUGUCAUGUAGCGGUGAAAUGCUUAGAUAUGACAUAGAACACCAAUUGCGAAGGCAGCUUACUACACAGUUAUUGACGCUGAGGCACGAAAGCGUGGGGAGCGAACAGG